rnacentral:rRNA from 1 species
UCUUUUAAUUUUGUGCCAGCCGCCGCGGUAAUACGUAGGUGGCAAGCGUUAUCCGGAAUUAUUGGGCGUAAAGAGGGAGCAGGCGGCAGCAAGGGUCUGUGGUGAAAGCCUGAAGCUUAACUUCAGUAAGCCAUAGAAACCAGGCAGCUAGAGUGCAGGAGAGGAUCGUGGAAUUCCAUGUGUAGCGGUGAAAUGCGUAGAUAUAUGGAGGAACACCAGUGGCGAAGGCGACGAUCUGGCCUGCAACUGACGCUCAGUCCCGAAAGCGUGGGGAGCAAAUAGG